rnacentral:rRNA from 1 species
CGCGUAGGUGGCUGGGUCAGUCAGUGGUGAAAGCGCGGGGCUCAACUCCGCGUCGGCCAUUGAUACUGCUCGGCUUGAGCACUGUAGAGGCAGGCGGAAUUCCGGGUGUAGCGGUGGAAUGCGUAGAGAUCCGGAAGAACACCGGUGGCGAAGGCGGCCUGCUGGGCAGUUGCUGACACUGAGGCGCGACAGCGUGGGGAGCAAACA